UAGGGACUUAGGUUAAAUUUUAAACCGAGGGCCUUCAAAGCCUUAAAUAAGAAGCACCCUCUUAGUCCCUGUUUAAAACCCAUAGAGCCAAUCUACAUCUCCUGAUUGCAAAUCAGACGCUUUAAUUAAACUAGGGCCUCACAGGAAUUGGAGGGCUUUGAUCCCACAUAUACUAGUUAACAGCUAACACGCCUAACCAUAGACAUCAACUCCCCUCUAAGGCUUAAGGGCCACUCAAGCCCACUAUUUGAUUUGCACUCAAAUUUUUUUAAACCACU
rnacentral:misc_RNA from 1 species